rnacentral:rRNA from 1 species
GACGAACGCUGGCGGCGUGCCUAAUACAUGCAAGUUGAGCGCUGAAGGUUGGUACUUGUACCAACUGGAUGAGCAGCGAACGGGUGAGUAACGCGUGGGGAAUCUGCCUUUGAGCGGGGGACAACAUUUGGAAACGAAUGCUAAUACCGCAUAAAAACUUUAAACACAAGUUUUAAGUUUGAAAGAUGCAAUUGCAUCGCUCAAAGAUGAUCCCGCGUUGUAUUAGCUAGUUGGUGAGGUAAAGGCUCACCAAGGCGAUGAUACAUAGCCGACCUGAGAGGGUGAUCGGCCACAUUGGGACUGAGACACGGCCCAAACUCCUACGGGGGGCAGCAGUAGGGAAUCUUCGGCAAUGGACGAAAGUCUGACCGAGCAACGCCGCGUGAGUGAAGAAGGUUUUCGGAUCGUAAAACUCUGUUGGUAGAGAAGAACGUUGGUGAGAGUGGAAAGCUCAUCAAGUGACGGUAACUACCCAGAAAGGGACGGCUAACUACGUG